rfam:Gossypium raimondii Chr06_contig_1229, whole genome shotgun sequence.
CGUUAAAAUUUUUAUUCAUUUGUACUGUUAAAAACUAACUUGGUUGAUGAAAUAAUUAGACAAUGACAUGUGACGUGCUACAUGUACCUCAUUUUGACGUACAUGAACUAAUUUUUAAUAACAAAAAUGAAUGAACUUUUUAACA